UACAAUUCAAAAGGAAAAAUCCGCUUCCAAAAUAGAGAAACAAGUAAACACAAUCCGAAGUAAAAGCGACCAUCUUCCUCCAAAGUAAAAAAAAACAUCACGCCGAUGGUUGCAAACUUUCGCACUUUUCAACACUCGUUACAUAAGCGCAUUUUUGGCAACGGCUCAUGAGGAGGUUCCUGCUGACCGUAGGUUACUGUGGCACCAGUCUCAGGGGUGUUCAGAAACAGCUGGAUGAGGGAGUGAAUGGGAAGGCAUGCAGUGUGCAUGGAUUGCUGGAAAAGGCUUUAGUCCACCUGCGUCCAGCCAACCCCCCCGAACUCUAUAUCUCAAGUCGCACAGAUGCGGGUGUCCAUGCACUCUGUAAUACUCUUCAUGUGGACUUAGAACGUCUACCUUCCCAACCUCCGUACGAACCUGAAUACAUCACUAUUGGUGUAAAUCGCUAUUUUCAGAAGACAAAAGCUGACAUCAGAGUUCACAGAACUGUCCAUGUUCCUCCUACUUUUCAUGCGAGAUUCAACGCAACCGGGAGAACAUAUCUGUACCGUCUAGCUGUCAUUAGACCCGAGGCAGACUUGUCCCAAUGCCAAUCACUCAGUUUCGAUGCUUUGAUACCUAUUGGAGAAUUACAUAGGUGCUAUCUUGUGAAGUCACCAUUUGAUGUCGAGAAGGUGAAGGAGGCUUGUCAGAUCCUUCAGGGCAGCCACGACUUUGCCACCUUUGCCGGGAAGACUGGGUCUGGGGUGGACACAAAGCGCACCAUCAAUCAGAUCACAGUCACUGAGGGACGACCUCUUCUGGAUCCAGCCUUUGAGCCUCUUUACAGCAAUCUUCAGUUCUGGGACAUCACUGUGAACUCUAGGUCUUUCCUGUACAGACAGGUACGAAAGACAGUGGGUGUGUUAGUGGCUUUGGGCCAGGAACGAAUUUCCUUUGAUGACCUGCAUCGAAUGUUAAGCAUUCCUAGUCGUGACAGCUGGCCUUCAAAAGCCAUCACAGCACCACCUGCUGGACUUUACCUCGUCAAUGUGCAUUACCCUCGUGAGGCCUUCUGUUUCCCUUAUCCGGACUUCAGUGCUGUUGACAGUUGGGAAGGAGAUAAGAAACUGUAGUGUGACAUUUUGAAGUGGUGAAUAUGAAAUCCACUGUGGCUUACUCUAGGUGAUAUAGACUAAGUGAAAAGGUGUAAAACUUGGACAAGUGAACUAAAGAGAUAAGACUUUAUUGCGGGUAUUCUGAUGGUCCUGCUGGUAUUGAGAGUUGCAAUCUAGAGAACACCAAGUAAAGGGACAUUUCUGUAGUUCACACUCUAAAUUAAAGGUCCAAAAAAUGGAGGAGAUUAAUAUUCAGCAGAAUGGUGUCCCAAGUGAUGGUGCAUCACAGAGUCAACAACAGCCUGAGCACAUUACUGGUGAUCUGGAGUUUGAGGGACAGCAGCAAGGGAAGACAUUGGAGGUUGAGGGGAAGCUAGAAUCCAACAAACAGGAUAUGAUUUCAGAAAAGGAACAAUGCCAAGUACAACAACAAAAUACUCAGCAGACCCUGGGUGAAUCUGGGAAAGAAGGACAAAGGAAACAGAAAGAGAUGAAUGAAAUUAUGCCUAAGAAGCAAAAAACUUUACAAGGGAACCAGGAAGUGACUUGCACACUCAAGGGUGAGAUUCCAAAGGGAGAGGAACAAAAGAAACCCCCCAGAAAACAGAAUCAAAAUGCAGAGAUGCAACAGCAGAAACAGAC